rnacentral:misc_RNA from 1 species
GGAAUCUCCAUGUCCAAGUUCUUGAGCAAAUCCAUAUGCUAUAUAUGUUUUUGGACCCAGAUCUGGCUUCAGUAUACCAUCUGGAAGUUUGGAAGCAACAUUAAGAAUACCAGAAAGGGGAUGUGUGUAUUCUUUGUACGGCAAGGCUCUAAUGAAUUCUGCUCCAUGGCGUGGCAACCGCUUCUCGAAUUCUGUAGAUGGUGGCCAGUCCUUAAGCUUAAGCAUUUCGGGCCACGAAUCUGGGUGUGCUCGACCUUCAACAUAACCCCUAAAAAAUUGACGAAUAUUUAUAUCCACCUCACACCAAUCACAACAAUCAACUGCUGUCACCAUCAAAUCUGAUGAGCCCUUCUUGAUUGCUAUAUUACGGAAGGCACGCCACAUCACCAUUGGUUCCCAGCUUAAUCCAGAUGUUAAUUCAAGAACGUUGCUUACAAUAACAGGUUCUCCCAUUCUCCAAUGUUUCUGGAAGUGCUCCAGGUGCCCUUCCUGUAUGUCACUUGAAGGGCAGAACAAAUAAUUGUCAUCAGAAUCUGAUCUGGAAGCUGC